UUGGCAUGCGCGGCUACUCUGCAGUCGAGCGGUCUGAUUAGAACCUUGCUUCUAUGACGUUAGCGGCGGACGGGUGAAUAACACGUGGGCAACCUGCCUGUAGGCUGGGAUAACUUCGGGAAACCGAAGCUAAUACCGGAUAGGAUCUUCUCCUUCAUGGGAGAUGAUUGAAAGAUGGUUUCGGCUAUCGAUUACGCAUGGGCCCGCGGGGCAUUAGCUAGUUGGUGAUGUAACGGCUCACCAAGGCAACGAUGCAUAACCGACCUGAGAGGGUGAUCGGCCACACUGGGACUGAAAACGGCCCAGACUCCUACGGGAGGCAGCAUUGGGAAUCUUCCGCAAUGGACGAAAGUCUGACGGAGCAACGCCGCGUGAGUGAUGAAGGCUUUCGGGUCGUUUGCUCUGUUGUUAGGGAAGAACAAGGACGAAAGUAACUGCUUGUACCUUGACGGUACCUAACUAGAUCCCCGCGGCUAACUACGUGCCAGCAGCCGCGGUAAUACUUAUGUGGAAUCCUUUAUCUGGAAUUCUCGGGCGCAACUGCGCGCAGGCGGUUUCUUAUUUCUGAUGUUUAAUCCCUGCCUCUUCCGUGGAGGGUCAUUUUAAAUUGUGGCACUUGAGUCCCAAAAAGAG
rnacentral:rRNA from 1 species